rnacentral:lncRNA from 1 species
AAGUUCAAGACAUUGUACAACAUCGUGGAGGAGAUGGCAGCUGAGAGAAGCAAAAGACAGACUGCAGGACCUGCACUAAAAGCCUGUGUGCGAAUGCCUUUCCCUGCCACACAUGGACAAACCAUGACUGAAUGGCUCAUGAGUCAGAAAUUGGCCCUGGGGGACUGCAAUCUGAUGUGGAGAAUCACCAGAAAUGGCGCUGACAGAAACCAUCAGAGGCUGUUUUCCAUUCCCCCACCCAAGGCAGGCCCGGUGGGUCUAAGCCAUUGCUGACAGGUGUGCAUCUGGUUCCUGGGAUGCCCCAGCGUCUCCUGGGGAACCUCUCCCAGAGGGAAUGCUUCCUGAGUUCCCUGGCUGUAAUGUUAAGCCUUUGACUUUGCAUCCUGGCCCUGGGAGAUGCAGGACUUAGUCUUUUGCUUCUCACCUUGCAGCAACCUAGAGCAUGUUUGAAGACCUGUGGGAAGGCGUUAUUAUACUAGGGGUGUGGGGAGAUGUAUUCCUAAAGGCUAAAGUAUAGUCCAGGACAGAGGGACAGCCCCUCCAGAGAGUGGGUCAGAGUGUGUCUUGAACCUGGUG